rnacentral:misc_RNA from 1 species
UACAGAGGGUGCGAGCGUUAAUCGGAAUUACUGGGCGUAAAGCGUGCGUAGGCGGUUUCGUAAGUCGGAUGUGAAAGCCCCGGGCUCAACCUGGGAAUGGCAUUCGAGACUGCGAGGCUCGAGUGCGGAAGAGGGAAGUGGAAUUUCCGGUGUAGCGGUGAAAUGCGUAGAUAUCGGAAGGAACACCAGUGGCGAAAGCGACUUCCUGGUCCAGCACUGACGCUCAGGCACGAAAGCGUGGGGAGCAAACAGG